rnacentral:rRNA from 1 species
AGUUUGAUUAUGGCUACAGAACGAACGCUGGUAGCGUGGAUUAGGCAUGCAAGUCGAACGGGAUCACCGAUAUAGUAAUAUUGAGGUGUGAGAGUGGCGGAUUGGGGAGGAACACGUGAGCAACCUGCCUUUGAGUCGGGGAAAACCGUUGGAAACGACGGCUAAUACCGGAUGUGGCGCCCGGAGACAUCUUCGGAGCGCUAAAGGGGGCCGCAAGGCUCUCGCUCGUAGAGGGGCUCGCGCACCAUCAGCUUGUUGGCGGGGUAACGGCCCACCAAGGCCUACGGUUAGCUGGUCUGAGAGGAUGACCAGCCCCACUGGGACUGAGAUACUGCCCAGACUCCUACGGGAGGCUGCAGUCGAGGAUCAUUUGCAAUGGGCGAAAGCCUGACAAUGCGACGCUGCGUGGAGGAUGAAGGCCUUCGGGUUGUAAACUCCUGUCAUGGGGGAACAGGCGAGGAAACCUAAUACGUUUCUUAGUUGAGUGUACCCCAAGAGGAAUUGGCGGCUAACUCUGUGCCAGCCGCCGC